CCUACGGGGGGCAGCAGUGGGGAAUAUUGGACAAUGGGGGGAACCCUGAUCCAGCCAUGCCGCGUGUGUGAAGAAGGCCCUCGGGUUGUAAAGCACUUUCAGUGAGGAAGAACGCCUGGUGGUUAAUACCCAUCAGGAAAGACAUCACUCACAGAAGAAGCACCGGCUAACUCCGUGCCAGCAGCCGCGGUAAUACGGAGGGUGCGAGCGUUAAUCGGAAUUACUGGGCGUAAAGCGCGCGUAGGUGGCUUGAUAAGCCGGUUGUGAAAGCCCCAGGCUCAACCUGGGAACGGCAUCCGGAACUGUCAAGCUAGAGUGCAGGAGAGGAAGGUAGAAUUCCCGGUGUAGCGGUGAAAUGCGUAGAGAUCGGGAGGAAUACCAGUGGCGAAGGCGGCCUUCUGGACUGACACUGACACUGAGGUGCGAAAGCGUGGGUAGCAAACAGGAUUAGAUACCCUUGUAGUC
rnacentral:rRNA from 1 species